GAGUUUGAUCAUGGCUCAGAGUGAACGCUGGCGGCAGGCCUAACACAUGCAAGUCGAGCGGCAGCGCGGGGGCAACCCUGGCGGCGAGCGGCGGACGGGUGAGGAAUGCAUCGGAAUCUACCUCGUUGUGGGGGAUAACCUCGGGAAACCGGGACUAAUACCGCAUACGACCUACGGGUGAAAGUGGGGGACCGCAAGGCCUCACGCGAUGAGAUGAGCCGAUGCCGGAUUAGCUAGUUGGCGGGGUAAGGCCCACCAAGGCGACGAUCCGUAGCUGGUCUGAGAGGAUGAUCAGCCACACUGGAACUGAGACACGGCCCAGACUCCUACGGGAGGCAGCAGUGGGGAAUAUUGGACAAUGGGCGCAAGCCUGAUCCAGCCAUGCCGCGUGUGUGAAG
rnacentral:rRNA from 1 species